rnacentral:rRNA from 1 species
GAUGAACGCUAGCGACAGGCUUAACACAUGCAAGUCGAGGGGCAACGGGACGUAGCAAUACGUUGCCGGCGACCGGCGGAUGGGUGAGUAACGCGUAUGCAACCUACCCACGACAGGGGGAUAGCCCGUUGAAAGACGGAUUAAUACCCCAUAAAACAGGGGUUCCGCAUGGGACUAUUUGUUAAAGGGUUCUCCGCGAGGGGGACAUCGGUUGUGGAUGGGCAUGCGUUCCAUUAGGCAGUUGGUGAGGUAACGGCUCACCAAACCGACGAUGGAUAGGGGAACCGAGAGGUUGGUCCCCCACACUGGUACUGAGAUACGGACCAGACUCCUACGGGAGGCAGCAGUGAGGAAUUUUGGUCAAUGGACGGAAGUCUGAACCAGCCAAGUCGCGUGAAGGAAGGCGGCCCUAAGGGUUGUAAACUUCUUUUGUAAGGGAAUAAAGUGCGUUACGUGUAGUGCAUUGCAAGUACCUUACGAAUAAGGAUCGGCUAACUCC